rnacentral:rRNA from 1 species
UCGGAAGCGGGUAACAUAUUGGAUCUUUUUCUAUCAAUGCUAACGACGGACGGAUGGGUAAUAAUGCCUGGCAAUAUGCCCUGAUGGGGGGGAUAACUAUUGGAAACGAUAACUAAUACCGCAUAUUCUCUUCGGAGCAAAGAGGGGGACCUUCGGGCCUCUCGCGUCAGGAUUACCCCAGGUGGGAUUAUCUUGUUGGGGGGGUAAUGGCUCACCAAGGCAACGAUCCCUAGCUGGUCUGAAAGGAUGAUCAGCCCCGCUGGAACUGAAACACGGCCCACACUCCUACGGGAGGCAGGGGUGGGAAAUAUUGCACAAUGGGGGAAACCCUGAUGCACCCAUGCCGCGUGUAUAAAGAAGGCCUUCGGUUUGUAAAGUACUUUCAUUUGUGAGGAAGGCAUUAAAGUUAAUAGCUUCGGUGUUUGACUUUACCAACAAAAAAAGCACCGGCUAACUCCGUGCCACCACCCGCGGUAAUACGGAGGGUGCGAGCGUUAAUCUAAAUUACUGGGCGUAAAGCGCAUGCGGGUGGUUUGUUAACCAAGAUGUGAAAGCCCGGGGCUCACCCUCGGAACAGCAUUUUGUACUGGCAGACUAGAGUACUGUAGAGGGGAGUAGAAUUUCAUGUGUAGCGGUGAAAUGCAUAGAGAUCAGAAGGAAUACAGGUGGCGAAGGCGCCCCCCUGCACAGAUACUGACACUCAGAUGAGAAAGCGUGGGAGCAAACAGGAUUAGAUACCCUGUUAGUCCACGCCAUACACGAUGUCUACUUGGAGGUUGUGGCCUUGAUCCGUGCCUUUCGGAGCUAACGCGUUAAGUACACCGCCUGGGGAGUACGGUCGCAUGAUUAAACUCAAAUGAAUUGACGGGGGCCCGCACAGCGGUGGAGCUUGGUGUUUUAUUCUAUGCAACGCAACAUCCUUACCUACUCUUGACUCCAAACAUUUACAAUAAUGCAUUGCUGCUUCAGUAUCUCUG